GUGUUCACUUCGUCAGCACAUACACUAAACUUGGAAGGAUACGGAGAUUAGCAUGGCCCCUUCGCAAGGAUGACAUGAAAAUUCAUGAAGCAUUCCAUAUUUUU
ensembl:snRNA U6 U6 spliceosomal RNA